AUCCGUUAAAAGCAUGAUAUUUUGGUUGGGCAAAAGAUUUAAUAAAAUGUUUAGUUAGUGGAUAAAUGAUUCCACCUUAAAUUUUGUGAGGGUAUUACUAAUUCAUGUACUUAAUCACUGAUUAAAAGUAGAUAUGUCUGCAACAACAAUAAAAUGCAUAAAAUAAAUUAGAGGAGAAUCUACAAUGAUUACAUGCACUUCAUUAAAAAACCAGAAGUGGCAUUUUACUGAUGCAAAUCGGCGCCAAUGCCUUCCAAAUUCUUCAUUACUGAGAGCAAACAAAAAGGAGGGAAAUUAAUUCCCCCAAAAUCAAAAAAUUUCAGCACAUUAUAAAAGGAACAAAGCCUCCAAAUUUCAGAUAUCACAUCAAAAAUUCAAAAGUUUUACACGAAUUGAAAUGCUACAAAAUGCCUAACAGAAAGAGGCCCGAUUUUACGUUGGAGGAGAAAGAAGGAGUUCUUCAAUAGCUGCUGCAACACAGUAAAAAUAGAGUUCUUAACAGAGGGGCACCAAAGGAAGCAAUUGCUUUUUUCAACAUCUCAGUCAAAUCAGUCCCUGGGGGUCUGCAAAGAAGCAAAUACAAAGAGGUGGAGUAGUGUAUUUUGUAAACAAACGAAAAGGUAAUCAACAUGUUGAUAAAAUGAUGCCCGAUGAAAAAAGGAUAGAGCACUUCCUAUUAGAGAAAAGGCACAAUUAGAAAGAUGGCAGCCAAACUAGGGAUAUCCAAAUCUCUACUUGGAGAGUGGAUUAAGGAGAAACAGUUAAAAGCUCACACAAGUGUUGUCAAGCCAUUUCUAACCGAUGACAAUAAGCUUGCAAUGCUUAGAUUUAGUCUAAGCCUACUAAAUUCUACAUCAAUGUUUGAUGACAAAGUGAAUUUUCAGAGUAUGCAUAAUGUAGUGCACAUUGAUGAAAAAUGAUUUUACAUGUCAAACACAUCAGAGAGUACUACUUGUUACCCGAUGAACAAGAUCCAUAUAGAAACUGUAAAUCAAAGAAAUUUAUAAGGAAAGUCAUGUUCUUGUGUGUUGUCAUCAGACCACACAUAAAUUCAAGGGGGAGGUUGAUUUUGAUGGCAAGAUAGGGAUUUUUCCUUUGACUGAAGUUGUACCAGCACACAGAAACUCCAAAAAUAGAGCUAAAGGCACAAUGGAGACCAAGCCUAUAAAUUCAAUUACCAAGUCAGUCAUUAAAGACUGCAUUAUUAAUCAGGUAUUUUUCCUUUAACAGUGAGCAUGCUUCACUAUCAGAAUUUAGAUUCAUCAUUUAGUGUUAUUCUUACCUUUGAUUUAAUAGGUUAUACUAGCAAUCAAAAGGAAAUGACUAAAGGGUGCAAGUAAGCAUAUUGUUAUUCAACAGGAUAAUGCAAAGCCACAUCUCAAAGAUGAUGAUCUAGAUUUUCUACAAGCUGCAAAUUCAGAUGGGUUUAACAUUACACUAAUGAGUCAACCACCAAACUCACCUGACACCAACAUAAAUGACUUGGAUUUUUCUAGAGCAAUUCAAUCAUUGAAGGAUGAGAAAAGUGCUCGAACUGUGGACCAAUUAGUGGAGCAUGUUCUGAAUGCAUAUGAAGAGCUAAGUGCAAAUUCUCUUAACUUUGUUUUUCUCACAUUGCAGACAUGUUUGAAAUAAAUAAUUAAUAUUCUUUUUAAAAUUCAUAUUACUUAAAUAGUUAAAAUAUUAUAAAAAUAAUAAUAUUAUUUUGCACGUAGGAAAAAUAUAAGGGGGCGUUACUUUGCAAGAUUAAUUAUGUGUAUAAUUGAGUAUUUUUAUCCUUAAGAGAAGAAUAUUCAAUCACAUUAUUUCAAUGAAUACCAUGAAUUUCUUCGACCACACUAUUUUCAUGAAUAACCCAAAGUUUCAAUCUAUUCCAAAGUCCCCUAAAUGUAAUAUGCAUCAAAAUUUUAAAAUGUAUAUUUAUAUUUAUAACAUACAUAAAAAUAAAAUAAAAAUAAGACCCCCUAUUUUUCGUGUAACAUGAGACAAUGAAUAAAACAUAUAAUACUAAUAAACAAGACGUAUAUCUAGCGAACAAAAUGUAUAUAUUGAUGAAAAAAAUAAAAUUAAAAAAAUUGAUAAAAUAAUGCAUAUAAACUAAUGAACAAUGCGGUGUAUACUGAUGAAUAACAAAAUUUAAAAUAUUCUGCUCCCUUCAGUAUUCGAAAUAUUCCAAUUGCGAAAAAAAACACACCAGAUCAUGCCACAUAUUACACGAAAAUUAAGGGGCCUCAUUGAAAUGGCCCCUAUAUAUAUAUAUAUUCAUGAUAUAAAUGUUACUUAAAAAAAUACUAUGUAAUAAUUAUAAAAACGUGAUUUGCUGCUGAUAUUCUUUUACAGGAUCUCCCAUUUUUAAGAAACAAAAAGAAGUGUUACCAACUUUAUUUGUAGCCAGUGCAACCGAACAAUUAUUCCCUACUUUAUAAUCCAAAAGAAAUUUAAUAUCGAAUUUCAACAGAAUAUCAACUAGAACAAUUCUUUGUAAUUAAUAGUAAAAAUACAACGAGAAUUAAAAACUCGUUGAAGCAAGAGAUUAUAUUAUAUUUCGAAACAUAGUCUAUUACAAGGCUAAAGCAAAAUUAGACUAAGAAAUAAACUAACUAUUACAAAAAUAGUUAAAAAAAAGAAAGAGAAUUCCACAUGUGAUAGAAAAAAGUCGCACUAGUCCCCACUCUGCAUAUUCUAGAUUUGGAUAUUAGUAGCGUUUAGCAAAGAUAAAACAAUAAACGAAACAUAAAAUUAAAGAAAGAAACUUUGUUAUUACCUUUGUAGACUACAAGGCUAGUUUCUGGUGGCAUCUUUCUAUCAUCAAAACGUCACCAAAAAGAUAGGAGCAUAUAUAUAGCUAAAUUUCGACACUCUCGUAAAAGGACUUUAUAUAAAUUAUAAGUUUGUUGAAGCAAAAAUAGUUUAAAAUAUUGAUGCUUGGGAAACUGUGCGAGCCCAAUGAAUCAUUCAAAAUAUUAUUCAUUCAUUGGAAAUAUUUUAAGCACGCUAGCAAUAACAAGAACAAAAAAUUAUGAUUCAUUAAGCCACACAAUUUCUAAAGCACCCUCAUUUUUAAAUAAAUUUUUUAACUUCAACCAACUUAUCUUAACAAAGACCCGUGACGAGAGUGCUGAAAAAUAGCUCACUUUCUCGAUACAUUAUUAGAUGUGACCACUGCCAUUCCUGCAAAAAGGAGCACAAUUAAUCAAUUUCGAUAUAUAUAUAUAUAUAUAUAUAUAUAUAUAUAUAUAUAGAUANUAUAUAGUAUAUAUAUAUAUAUAUAUAUAUAUAUAUAUAUAUAUAUAUAUAUGCAUUGUAAAUUUUGAACACUUUCGAGAAUAAAUGUAGCAACUUUAAAAAUUAGACGAAUAGAAAAUACUAGAAAGCAUGAGCAAUAUCGAAAGAGUUAGUAAAUUAAUUUAAACAAAAAAGCAAAAUAAAAUUAAAUAAAAACAUUUAACAGUGAUUUACUGUAUGACGCACAUCAAAGCAACUUUUAUUGCAGUGACAAAAAUAGUACACAAGCAAACGUGCAGGGCAUCUAUAUUGCUUCUUCUAGUAAAGAAACAGUUUUAAAAAUCCGAAAGUGAAAAAACUAACCACCAAUUUAAAUGAAUUACUGAUGAUAAAAAAAUUUUACUUCUCCCUUCCCCAAAAAAUAUCUACUUCUCACAAUCAUAAAAAAAAUUAACAAUGAAUACUUUGAAUUACAAAAAAAAUACUGCUUAGAAUUAGAAAGAAGAUCUCCAAAUCUUUAAAAAAAAUGAAAAAAAAAAGAGCAAAAUAAACGGUAGAUUUGAAAAUUAAUGGAAAGAGCUUACUUACCUUGACGCCGUAAUCAAAUCUCCACCGGCAGAAACUUCAUCAAAAGCCAGCUGCAGCUGAAGUUCCUCGUGCAGAUUGCUGCGAGUAGUGGUUGGGAGAGGAAGCGAUUGUAGAGAUGGUAGAAUUAGGGCCUGUUUGAUAUGGGUUUAUAGGUAGGAUAAAUUAAAUUAAUACAAGUUAGUGUGAUGUUUGAUAUCAUGUUCUAUUAAUGUGGUCAACUCCUACUUAAUCCCACUUCUCCAUGCUAUUUUGUGGGAAUAACCCAUACUAAUAAUCCGACCCCUCUCCCUCGGAUAACUUUAAUACUGCGAAGUUGGAUAAAAAUUAUGCUACCUUCCUCACGCAUAUCGAUGCAAAUGCCCAAGUAAUGGUGGACAGACAUGAUAUUUUUAAAAUUAUAUGAGGAUAGUUUUGGUAUUAGAUAAUAUAAUCCAACAUAAUUCUAUGGAUAUCAAACACAAUAUAGGAUUAAGUAGCCAUGAUAUCAAACACCCAUGAAAUAAUAUAAAUCCACACUAAUCCACACUAAUUUCUCAAGAUAAUUUUAAUCCUAAUCAAUCCUAAACUGCAAAUCAAACGGCCCCUUAUUGAUUUGCUGUGUGAAUUU
rnacentral:lncRNA from 1 species